rnacentral:rRNA from 1 species
AGCGAACGCUGGCGGCAGGCUUAACACUUGCAAGUCGAACGCAUCACUUCGGUGGUGAGUGGCAGACGGGUGCGUAACACGUGGGAACGUACCCUUCGAUCUGGGAUAACUUCGGGAAACUGGAGCUAAUACCGGAUACGCCCUUUUGGGGAAAGGUUUACUGUCGAAGGUUCGGCCCGCGUCUGAUUAGCUAGUUGGUGGGGUAACGGCCUACCAAGGCGACGAUCAGUAGCUGGUCUGAGAGGAUGAUCAGCCACACUGGGACUGAGACACGGCCCAGACUCCUACGGGAGGCAGCAGUGGGGAAUAUUGGACAAUGGGCGCAAGCCUGAUCCAGCCAUGCCGCGUGAGUGAUGAAGGCCUUAGGGUUGUAAAGCUCUUUUGUCCGGGACGAUAAUGACGGUACCGGAAGAAUAAGCCCCGGCUAACUUCGUG